CAUUUUUUCUAUGAUGACUGAAUAAGCAGAGAGUUUCGUGAAGACUAUAUUCAUCACCCAAGACUGAUAUUAAUA